rnacentral:rRNA from 1 species
ACGGAGGGUGCAAGCGUUGUUCGGAAUUACUGGGCGUAAAGAGCGUGUAGGCGGGAUAGUAAGUCAGAUGUGAAAGCCCUGGGCUUAACCCAGGAAGUGCAUUUGAUACUGUUAUUCUUGAGUAUGGGAGAGGAGAGUGGAAUUCCUAGUGUAGAGGUGAAAUUCGUAGAUAUUAGGAGGAACAUCCGUGGCGAAGGCGACUCUCUGGACCAAUACUGACGCUGAGACGCGAAAGCGUGGGGAGCAAACAGG